UCACCGAAGUCAAGCAUCAUUGUGCGCGGUCAGUACUUGGGUGGGUGACCACCUGGGAACACCGCGUACCGUU